rnacentral:rRNA from 1 species
CGGACCGCAAAGGUGAAAACUCAAAGGAAAUGACGGGGGGCCCGCACAACCAGUGGGAGUAGGGGGUUUAAUAGGAAGCAACGCGAAGAACCUUACCAGGUUCUUGACAUCCUUUGCAUAACCUAGAGAUAGGUGAAAUCCUUCGGGACAAAGUGACAGGUGGUGCAUGGUUGUCGUCAGCUCGUGUCGUGAGAUGUUGGGUUAAGUCCCGCAACGAGCGCAACCCUUAUGUUUAGUUGCUACGCAAGAGCACUCUAGACAGACUGCCGUUGACAAAACGGAGGAAGGUGGGGAUGACGUCAAAUCAUCAUGCCCCUUAUGACCUGGGCUACACACGUACUACAAUGGCUGUAAACAAAGGGAAGCGACGUCGCGAGGCGAAGCAAAACCCAAAACACAGUCCCAGUUCGGAUUGCGGGUGCAACCCGCCUGCAUGAAGCCGGAAUUGCUAGUAAUCGUAGGUCAGCAUACUACGGUGAAUACGUUCCCGGGCCUUGUACACACCGCCCGUCACACCAUGAGAGUUGGCAACACCCGAAGCCGAUGGUCUAACCGCAAGGAGGACGUCGUCGAAGGUGGGGUUGAUGAUUGGGGUGAAGUCGUA